rnacentral:lncRNA from 1 species
GACAAUUUGGACAUUAUUAGUUCCUGGAUAAAUUAAUUCUUGAACUUGUUUUAUUGAAUUCUUAUAUCAUUGUCAUCAUCCUCAUGUUUAUAUUUUUUUGAAAGUCAUCUGUGGCAUGUAGUGCAUAGAUGGACUUGGUAUGAUUAUGACCAGGGAUUAUUCGGUGUAAUCAUGACCGUAAUGUUACAAAUGAUGUGGUAAAAGUCCUCAUUGGCCCGUAGUGCAUUGAUGGACAGUUGUUGGC